GACGGGUCUUGGGCUCAGGCAACAUAAUUUUAACCUUAACACCAAGAACACCUUGACGAAGGAGAACGUGGCGAGUAGCAGAGUCAAUGAAAUCAACAGCAGGUUGACCAGAGUGGAUCAUGAAACCGUCGGCAAAUUUCAUGGACUUGGCACGAGCAGCACGGAGCUUACCGGAGAUGACAACCUCACAACCCUUGGCACCAGCCUCCAUAACAUAACGAAGGACACCAUAGGCGGCACGACGAACAGCCAAACCAGCCAAAAGCUUGUA